GGGUUGAUACUUACUUUUGGAUUUAGAUUCUCUAAACCAAUAUUGGUUUAAUUAUUUGAUGAAUAAUGAAAUUGAAUCUUUUAUUUAAUGGAUUUUAGCUAAUUAUGAUUGAUUGACUUCGUGUUAUCAUGGGCCCUAUUUCUCAGUAGCAUGACCGUGUUAUGUCCCAAAUUUGAGGCAUGACACUUUGGCUAUGAGUUUG
rnacentral:lncRNA from 1 species